CAUAAUAGUAAAAUAACUUUUCGUGUCCCCUAGGAAAUUUACAGAAAUACCCCCACCUUUGAAUUAAACCCCAGCCCUCCUUCGACGAGCUCUCUCUCCCUCUUUGACUCCAUUGCCUUUCUUCAUCUCUCCCUUUCUCUCUCCUCUCGCAUUUUAAUUUUUUGAAAUUUCUGCUCCUCAGAUCUCUCACAUUUUGAACUUUUGUUCUCCGGAGAUGAAACACCGCCACUAGCAAAGCGGUGGAGCUAGGCGCAUCUUGCGACGACGACGAGGCCGAGAACGAAGUCGCAGAGGAGAUCGACGAGGAUGACAACGAAGUCGCAGAGGAGAUCGACGAGGAUGACAACGAAGUCGCCGGCCACCGUAUUCUCCGCCGCUUCCUUAGCGCAACCACCGUAUUCGCUUUUCUAUUUCCAUCAGAAGUUCAGAUCUGAAGAAGCUAGACCAAUCAUAUUGGUGAUCUGCUGACUGCUGAUACAGCGCUACCCGUUGCUUCCAAACAAUAGAGAUUGUGGUUCCCUGACAUCGCUUCUUGAAUCAAUGCGGAACCUCACAUCACUUCAGACACUUGAGAUCAGUGUAUGUCGAGGGCUUCAUCAAUACCUAGAACAAAAAUACAAAUAACCAAAUGGGGAGGACUGGUACAAGAUUAAACACAUCCCCCAUAUUGAUUUUAAAUUAAAUAAUUAGAGGGGAGUGAACGGGAACCAUGGAUAGUGUCCGGUCUGGACCUUACAGUCAGAUUUUCCGACCUGAUAAAAGUGUCUUCGGGCAGGUAAUAACUGGGCAGAAGAUUAAUAUACUGAAGGUGCCGAGCUUAUUGACUUCGUAAGGAGGCUGAGAAUUGUGACUGUCUUCAAGGUACAUGAAGCCAAUGCUGCAGGCUAGCUUCUGCCUACAACCUCCAGGGGAGACUCCGUCAAGGAGAUCAACUUUCGAUUGGAUAAUUCGGGAUGCAUACACGUUUUCUUCGAGGAUCAAUCUGCCAAAAUUCAGUUUCAAUGACUAAUGUAAAAUGUUUAUUACUUUGUAUUAUUAUUUACAUUUCUUACGUACAUAGAUUUUUUGAUUGAUGCAAUUGUUGUGUUUAGUUAAAUAUGAACUUACAUCGCGAAAUUGACUUAUAGUAUUAACGUUUUUAAAUAUGAACUUUGCGAAUA